AACGAACGCUGGCGGCGUGGCUAAGGCAUGCAAGUCGAACGGACAUAGUGCGUAGCAAUACAAGCUAUGUUAGUGGCGGACGGGUGAGUAAUGCAUGGGUAACGUACCGAUGGGACACGGGAAUAGCGCCGGGUCCGUCGCAAGACGGAUCCUUUGCGAAAGUGGCGGUAAGACCCGAUGAACCCGGGAAACACAUGUUUUCCCGGGCAAACGCUCCGGUGGUCUAUGAUCGGCCCANGUCCUAUCAGCUUGUUGGUGAGGUAACGGCUCACCAAGGCAACGACGGGUANCCGGCGUGAGAGCGCGACCGG
rnacentral:rRNA from 1 species